GCGUCAGUGGUGUAAUGGUCAGCAUGGCUCCCUUCCAAGCAAUCGACGGGGGUCCGAUUCCCCCCUGACGCA
rnacentral:tRNA from 1 species